AUGUUCACUCUGCCUCAGAAGGAAUCUAGGGCACCUGCCACCUGUCCGGGCCCAGCCUCCACACAGGACCUGGACAGUAACUACGAGGAUGGUCUGGAAAGAGAAUGCUCCAGAAAACCGGACCGGAAGGUGCCAGAGUUCUGUGGAGUGGGUGAUCCCACUGCCAUGUUAUCCUCAGACAGCUCUUACCUGUCCUCUAGGGGAGACAUCAUUAAGUGGUUCUGGGACUCGGCAGAAGAGGGCUACAGGACCUACCACAUGGACGAGUAUGAUGAGGAUAAGAACCCCAGUGGCAUCAUUAACUUGGGCACCAGUGAGAACAAACUCUGCUUUGACCUGCUGUCCAGGCGGCUGAGCCAGAGCGACAUGCUGCGGGUGGAGCCGUCCCUGCUGCAGUACCCUGACUGGAGGGGACAUUGGUUCCUCCGGGAGGAAGUGGCCAGAUUCCUGUCUUUCUACUGCAAGAGGCCUACACCCCUUAAGCCAGAGAAUGUGGUUGUUCUGAAUGGCUGUGCCUCUCUCUUCUCGGCUCUGGCCACAGUGCUGUGUGAGGUCGGGGAGGCUUUCCUGAUCCCCACACCUUACUAUGGAGCCAUCACACAGCACGUCUAUCUCUAUGGCCACGUCCGUCUGGUCUGUGUCUAUCUGGACAGUGAGGUCACUGGGCUGGACACACGCCCCUUCCAGCUCACCGUGGAGAGGCUUGAGAUGGCCCUGCAGAGAGCUAAUUCUGAGGGUGUGAAGGUUAAAGGUCUCAUCCUCAUCAACCCCCACAACCCUCUGGGCGACAUCUACUCCCCAGGAGAGCUGCGGGACUACCUGGAAUUUGCCAAGAGGCACGAGCUGCACGUGAUGGUGGAUGAGGUCUACAUGCUGUCCGUGUUUGAGAAGUCGGCGGCCUACUGCAGCGUCCUGAGCCUGGAAGGGUUGCCUGACCCCCAGAGGACCCACGUGAUGUGGGCGACCAGCAAGGACUUCGGGAUGUCUGGGCUCCGCUUUGGCACGCUGUACACGGAGAACCGGGACGUGGCCACUGCGGUGGCUUCCCUCUGCCGCUAUCACGGCCUCAGUGGCUUGGUCCAGUACCAGAUGGCGCAGCUGCUCCGGGACCGUGACUGGAUCAACCAGGUGUACUUACCGGAGAACCAUGCCCGGCUCAAGGCUGCCCACACCUAUGUGGCAGGAGAGCUCCGGGCCCUGGGCAUCCCCUUCCUGAGCCGCGGGGCGGGCUUCUUCAUCUGGGUUGACCUGAGGAAGUUCCUGCCUGAGGCCACCUUUAAGGAGGAAAUGCUGCUUUGGCGCCGCUUUUUGGACAACAAGGUGCUGCUGUCCUGUGGCAAGACCUUCGAGUGUAAAGAGCCCGGCUGGUUCCGCUUGGUCUUCUCGGACAAGGCCCACCGGCUUUGCCUGGGGAUGCAGAGGGUCCGGCAGGUGCUUGGGGGCAAAUCCCAGGUGGCCGAAGAGCCCCGUUCCUGUCAGACCCAGGAGCCAAGGAGCCAGCGCAGAUGAGCUGGUCGUCGCUGGGGGACAGCAGGGCCUGGCAGCCACCGCCAACCCGAGCCAUUUGGGGCUGUGAAGACUGACGGCGGAUGGGCCAUUUGUCAGGCGGGUACCCGACGUGACCUCACCCCCGAAGAAGAACCAUUCCUGGCCCCUCUUGGGCAGUGAGAGACUCCUUUGGCUGUGCUCUGCUUCAGCCCCUCCCCCUCUACUAAACAAAACUGGGAGAAACUAAAAGCCUCUGUGGAUUGCUUCCCAGAAUAGCUACCUGCAUCAAGACUCAGUCUCUCAGGGAACCAUGCAAAGCAGAGUAUACAUGAAAGGUCAACAGCAUCCACCGUGUGUCUCCUGAGCUCAAGCUACUUUCCCCAACAACUCAGAUGCAGGUCCCGGUUUGGGCACCAGAGUGAUCGAAUGCUUACCUAGUGAUUUCUGUGAGUCUUUUCAGGAACCAUCUAUUGUUGGCAAUUACAAGGGGAAAUGUUUUUCAUAGGGAAAUGUUUCCCUUUUCCGAUCAAUGAAAAUUCCUAAGCUAUUCUAUUACUGAAGUCUCACUUACAAAUGACUAAAAAUGGUAAACAGAGCUCACGGGUUAAACAAAAGGGGGGUGGGUUUAUUGAAUUAAGCAGGAAGGGGAAGGGCAGAUGUUUCAGGCAGGGCUCUAGCCCGGAGUUCAAAUGAUGCCAUCGGAUUUUGUGCUCUCUCUUUCUGCCUUCCUCUCUUCAUUCUCAAACAUGCUCCAUUCAGGGGGUGGCAGGAUGGCUUCCAGACCGCUCUGAGCUCCAGAGUCCUUGUAGCAGACACCUACAGGGUAUGGGAAUGAUAGAGAGACACCCUUUCUUCCUCAGCAUUCAUGUCUCUCCUGUUCCAGGAGGCCAAUUGGCUUUACCUCAGUCAUCCGCCCAUUCAGGAGAAUGUGGUGCUUGGAACCGGGGUUUUCUUCAUCUGUCCACUCUGCCGUCCUAGUGUGUUGGACUUUUCCCCUUCGAGCUUCCUUCCUCAUGGUCUCAGUACAGCUCCAGAAGCUCCACACAUCACCUCCUCACCAAACACUUCCAGAGACAGGAAAGAGAAUAUGGUUUCCUGGGCCUCCUUUUCAUUUUAUUGCAGUCAUUUAUUCCCUCAUUUAUUAAAAAAAAUAUUUGUUGGGCCUCACAUUUCUAGGGGUUCUUUAUAUAUUUUCCAAGUGAGCACUUUGCCAGAUACUCUGAAAUUAUUCACAUUCAUACUUUGAGCAUUUUCUUUAUCCUCCUGAACAUGGAAAUGACCUGAGAGCAUUUAACUCUUACUCCUUUAUAUUCAUCUCCUGUGACAUUGUCAGCGAGCAUUUUAGUUCAUGCCUAGGCUGUUUGUCAGUUUGUUUGUCCCUUCUUCCUCCAGAAACUGCUUUGAAGAGUCAUAACUACCCCAGUUUGGGUGAAGACUGGGCAAAAUAGAACCUCCACUUUUCACGCUAACAUUUUUAAUAACAGUGCUAAUGCUACACAGCUAUCAACAGGAUGUUUCAUGUUUAACGCCGUGUUUCCUUGGACUCCGUCACCCUAGUAACAAGAGCCAGGCCGUCCUUCAGAAUGCUGGGGAGGUAAUGGUAGUCCCUCCAGCCACGGACCACUUCAGCAAGUACGCGUGUGAGCAGACCCAUCUGAAGAUACCCCAGCUCCCAGCCCCUCCAAAGCUUAACUUUCACAUCCGGGAGUCCUGGGAUUCAGGCAUCACGAUGGUGAGGUUAGCCCUGUUGUUGGCUCCCUCCAAGGCCCACGAGUACUCCAGGGAGGGCUGGGAAUUCCAGAAGGAGCCAACCAAGUAGCCUCUCAGAGGAAGCCACCGGCCCCCGUCAGGAACAGGGACAGGGACACCAUAGACUGGGACCCCGUUCCAAGGGCAGCUCCCAGCCUUGCCGACUCAAUAAAGGACUUUGGAAGUGUUAAAACAAAAAAACCUAUGUAGGCUACAUCCCGAGGAGAGUUACAGAUAAAUUUGGUCUAGUACUGGUCUCAGACAUCUCUUGAACUUCUGCUGAAACACUGCUUUCUAUUAAUUUUUAAAAAUGGAGGUAAAGUUGACAUACAGUGAACUGCACAGGUCUUCAUCGUAAGAGGCAAUGACUUUGGCCAAUGUCCCCAUCAAGGUGUACAACAAUUCCAUGGUUCUGAGUCUGCCUGUAGGUAACUGCUAUUCUGGUUUCUCUCUCCAUGAAGCAAUUUCUCAAUCAAAGGAACCGCAUAGUUGUUCCCUUUUGUGUCUGGGCUAUUUUGUUCAACUUAAUGUUUGGAGAGUCAUUGACAUUGUUGCAUGUAUCUAGUACAUUCUUCCUCUCUUUUUGGCCCUAUCAUAGUAAUAUCCCCUUUUUCAUUCUUGGUAUUAGUAGCUUUUGCUCUGUCUGCUUUCAUUUUUGUCAUGAAUAGUCAGCUUUAUGAUGAUUUUAUUGAUUUUGCUGGUUUUAUUGGUUUUUUUCAAUGAACUGUUACUUUUGUUAAUGCUUUCUAUUGUAUAUUUGCUUUCUAAUUUAAUGUUUUGUUUUGUUUUGUUUUUGCUUACAUGUGAACUAUGAUUUUUGUAUAAAGGGAAAAUGAUUAUUUUUUGCUCCUUUCUUCUGCCUUUAUGUUUUCCUCACUACUGGCCAUAGUCAUUGUUAUUCCCUGAUAUAAAGAAAAAAUGCAAAAUGUGUGUACCUUAUUGUGCAUAAAUUUUACCUCAUUAGAAAAAGGGAACUGGAAAAUAUUGAUCUGUAGUUAAUGACAUGCCUUCGAUAAAAUAUUCAGAUGUUAGCUACUUGAUAGCUGCAAUUUAUUUUGCAAUGCAGCAAAAAAUGAGGGGUCAACAAUGGGUGGAUCAAUAUGUGAUAAGUACCGUAAAAUAUUAAUUACAUAGUAGAGAUGGUAGAUAUGUGGGUAUUCACCGCAAAC